rnacentral:lncRNA from 1 species
GCAGCGGCCAUAUACAUUGUGGGGUACAAGUCCCCCCCAAUGUUCAGAUAUGCCCAAAAUGUCCCCCCCAAUAAAUCGCUGGGAAUAGAGAUAAAGCAAUUCAAUAUUUCUAUGGGUAGAACACUUAUGUUUUCCCUGAAGUACACUCCGUUCGCUGAACGCAUCUCUGCACAGAGUGCGCGCCGCACACCCUAAAUAACUCAAUCCGAUUCCAUCUACAGCUCUUACAGCCAAUGAGAAUAUGGCUGUUCGGGCAAGCUAGCCAAUGGGAUAGAUCCAUGAUUUGAUUCGUCCCCGCACGUGCGGCUCGGUGACGGUGACUUGUCACUCGAUUGCAUUGGUCAUCAACCGUCUUUUUUACAUGACCACGGAAUCAAAAACAUCAACAACAGCAAAUGAGUGGCGUGUUACGAUCGAAAACACAGUCGUCAUGAGCAAGAGGAAGCAAGAGGGUUGCAGAGACAUUCGGCAAUUUUUUGCCUCGUCUCAGAAAAGAAGCAAAUCGGACCUUGAUGCUGUGACAACGGACAAGUCUUCUUCCUCUGUCCUUUUCCCCUGCAUCUGUUCAGUAUGUUCAGUGUUCUUAAAUCAUUUUAUUAGUUACUGUUCUUAUUGUGUUCUUGUUAGUGUGAUGUUUGAAUAA